AGAGUUUGAUCAUGGCUCAGGACGAACGCUGGCGGCGUGCCUAAUACAUGCAAGUCGAGCGAAGUGGAGAGAGCUUGCUCUCAAAGCUUAGCGGCGAACGGGUGAGUAACACGUGGGCAACCUGCCUGACAGACCGGGAUAACUUGGGGAAACUCAAGCUAAUACCGGAUAUGAUCGCAAACCGCAUGGAUUGCGAUGGA
rnacentral:rRNA from 1 species